rnacentral:rRNA from 1 species
AAACCAACAGGGAUUACCUCAGUAACGGCGAGUGAAGCGGUAACAGCUCAAAUUUGAAAUCUGGGUCUUUCAGGCUCCGAGUUGUAAUUUGUAGAAGAUGCUUCGGGUGCGGCUCCGGUCUAAGUUCCUUGGAACAGGACGUCAUAGAGGGUGAGAAUCCCGUAUGUGAUCUGUUGCUUGCGCCCAUGUGAAGCUCUUUCGACGAGUCGAGUUGUUUGGGAAUGCAGCUCAAAAUGGGUGGUAAAUUUCAUCUAAAGCUAAAUAUUGGCCAGAGACCGAUAGCGCACAAGUAGAGUGAUCGAAAGAUGAAAAGCACUUUGGAAAGAGAGUUAAACAGUACGUGAAAUUGUUGAAAGGGAAGCGCUUGCAACCAGACUUGCGCGUUGCCGAUCAUCCGGGGUUCUCCCCGGUGCACUCGGCCUCGCUCAGGCCAGCAUCGGUUUUGGUGGUGGGAUAAAGGCCUUGGGAAUGUAGCUCCUUUCGGGGAGUGUUAUAGCCCUCGGUGCAAUGCCGCCUACCGGGACCGAGGACCGCGCUUCGGCUAGGAUGCUGGCGUAAUGGUUGUAAGCGAC